rnacentral:rRNA from 1 species
AUGGAUCCGGGAGAUGCUCGUGGCAUCGACAUUCUGACAUCAAUCGCCGCCGAUCUGCAUUUGGAACCAAGAUCCAGAUCCGUAGUUGUCGAUGGUACCUCAUCCGAUCCGAUCUGCGGUGAAGGGCAAGCAGCCGAUGAACCUAAAUUUGUCCAAGUCGAAUCGAAUCUUGUGCAAACCAGACUCCUGAAGGUUGGAAAUGCAGGAAGCUAUCCCGGGAUGGGCUUAAGGCAAGGGCAACAACAAGCAAGACGAGCUCUAUUCAAACAUGUCUGUAGAACUCUGAAGUACAUUGGAGAAGGUCUCACUGAAGAAACAUCUCUAUACACUACAUGA